rnacentral:pre_miRNA from 1 species
UUAUUGAGUGAUUGAAGCUGCUAGAUGACCUGAUGGAACCACUUAUUAUAAUGAUAACCGAAUUUCCCUUCUGGUAGGUUUCCUUUAAGGACUCCAGUUUACAAGUCCCUUUUAUUACUUGGCUCAAGAAGUUAAAGAAAAUAAAAACUCAAAAAAAAAAAAAGGCAGGUAAAGUUGACACACUUGUUCUUCAAAUUCCAUAACUUUUUUCAAAUUGAUACACACUGGAAACCUUGAAUUGGAUCUAAGAAUGAAUAGAUGGAUUAUUUUUUACCAGUAUUUUCUCUGAGGAAUUAUUAUAUGCAUGAGAUGAGAAAAAAGAGUGUGUGGCUGAUUACCAGAUCAUGCUGGCAGCUUCAACCUCUCAAA